rnacentral:tRNA from 1 species
GGGUGCUUAGCUCAGCUGGGAGAGCAUCACCCUUACAACUCGAGGGUCGGGGGUUCGAACCCCUCAGCACCCA